rnacentral:rRNA from 1 species
CCUACGGGUGGCAGCAGUGAGGAAUAUUGGUCAAUGGGCGCGAGCCUGAACCAGCCAAGUAGCGUGAAGGAUGACUGCCCUACGGGUUGUAAACUUCUUUUAUAAAGGAAUAAAGUGAGGCACGUGUGCCUUUUUGUAUGUACUUUAUGAAUAAGGAUCGGCUAACUACGUGCCAGCAGCCGCGGUAAUACGGAGGAUCCGAGCGUUAUCCGGUUUUGUUGGGUUUAAAGGGAGCGUAGAUGGGUUUUUAAGUCAGUUGUGAAAGUUUGCGGCUUAACCGUAAAAUUGCAAUUGAUACUGGCAGACUUGAGUACAGUAGAGGUAGGCGGAAUUCGUGGUGUAGCGGUGAAAUGCUUAGAUAUAACGAAGAACACCGAUUGCGAAGGCAGCCUACUAAGCUGCCACUGACAUUGAUGCUCGAAAGUGUGGGUAUCAAACAGGAUUAGAUACCCUAGUAGUC